GGGUGGCUUUGUUGUCAGAUGGGGUCUGACUUCAGGUUUUCCAUGAAGAUGAGCCCUCGUUGCAUCACAGUUACUCCCCAGUGAUGGACGCAGGACCCCCUUCCCUGCCUCUGGGCUCUUGGCUCCCUCUGCUGAUCCCCUUCAGCGGCUGCGAUCGGUGUGUUCAGUGAGCGUCACUGCAGAGUAGAAGAAAGGCCGUGAUGUUCUCUGUUCUCUGGCAGCUGAAGGCUAUGGAGAGUGGGAGGUACCUUGGCCAUUGGUGCUCUGAUCCCAGACUUGCAGACACAGGCUUUGGAAGAAGGAGCUCCUUUUCAUUUUAGUCCAAGUUAUUUCUGGCAUCAACGAUGAUGGCAAGACAUCCACGACCACAAGGAGCUUCGCCUACAUAAGUGAUCAAAACUACUAGAAAUAAUCAACCAUGGCUCAUUUUUUCUCUUCAUUUCUGCCUAUAAUCACACAUUUCAAAUUCCUGCCUGUACUAGUUACUAUUGUGAUAAUCUCCAGUCUUCUAAGUACAAUUUCCUUAGUAUCCA